rnacentral:tRNA from 1 species
GCACCUGUAGCUCAAGGAGUAGGGCGCUGGUCUCUUAUACCAGAGGUGGCAGGUUCAAACCUGGCCCCAGGCA